GUGUGUGUGAUGUGAACAAAACAGUAUGAGAAACCGUGAUACUGUAAACGCUUUCUGAUGUG
rfam:Amazona aestiva scaffold_876, whole genome shotgun sequence.